rnacentral:tRNA from 1 species
GGUUAUGGCUCAGUGGUAGAGCACUCGCCUAGCAUGUGCGAGGCUCUGAGUUCGAUCCUCAGCACCA